CCUGCUUUUCUCACAAUCACAAAGGCUCUAUUGCUCUGGCUGCGUCAUAGUCACUUCACUCUCCCUCAUUUCCCUACUUCCUCCUUUCAUGCCUUCCCUCUCCACUUUUCUUGUACUCUCAGUUCACCAGUUUUCUUUCUUGGAAAGAUGAGUGAUUUCAGCCCUCCAGUGCCAUGGAAAUGAUAAAUCUCCUUAUCCGACUUGGGAAUUCUGUUUCUCAUCAUUCUGCAACAGGAUUUGGAGGUGCUGUGUUUCAUGGCAUUGGGAGACUAGAGAGUGUUGGUUCAGUAUAUGAUGUAAUUGUGUAGGAGGUGGAUUCAACUGUUGGAAAUGCUAUGUCCUGGCCUGUAAUUUGUGCUGGGGUCUCGGUACACAACUCCCCUUACUUCUUGGAAGGGAUAGGUCUUUGAGUAAAGGCUCAUAAAUAGGCCUAUGCUGGGAUUUUGUGGCCUUUGUGACAUGUCAGGCUAAGGGAGACUCAGCUAGGGCCUUUCUGUCUUAUUGGCAGCUCUGUCCGAACGUCCUCCUCCAGGUCCUGCCCCACCCCCCUGAGCAUGCCACUUUCUUCCAGGUAUCCUGUAUCCUGCUCAAAGAUGCAAGUUAGAAGAUUCCCUGAGGACACUGAGGAUUUUUGUCUCUCAAUCAUGGUGGCCCAGGCUAGAGAGCAUCACCAUGCUUCAUGACCAGGUCCCAGAAGCCAACAAGCUGGGACAUUUGAGUGGGAACACCAGAAAGAGACAGGACAAAAGUGUUUCCAGGGCCAGCGCACAGGGAGGAGUCUCAGGUGACAGUUCCGAGACACAGAGUUUCCAAUGUGAAAGGAAGGCGAGAAAGUCUGGAGAUGAAUGGUGGCGACAAUCCCAAAAUCAUUUGAAUAAAUAAGUUAAAGCUG
rnacentral:lncRNA from 1 species